rnacentral:rRNA from 1 species
UAGAAUUCCAGGUGUAGCGGUGAAAUGCGUAGAGAUCUGGAGGAAUAUCGGUGGCGAAGGCGGCCCCCUGGACAAAGACUGACGNUCAGAUGCGAAAGCGUGGGUAGCAAACAGGAUUAGAUACCCUGGUAGUCCACGCCGUAAACGAUGUCUACUUGAAGGUUGGGAUCUUGAAUUCUGGCCUUCGGAGCUAACGCGUUAAGUAGACCGCCUGGGGAGUACGGUCGCAAGAUUAAAACUCAAAUGAAUUGACGGGGGCCCGCACAAGCGGUGGAGCAUGUGGUUUAAUUCGAUGCAACGCGAAGAACCUCACCUACUCUUGACAUCCAGAGAAGCCAGCAGAGAUGCAGGUGUGCCUUCGGGAAYUYUGAGACAGGUGCUGCAUGGCUGUCGUCAGCUCGUGUUGUGAAAUGUUGGGUUAAGUCCCGCAACGAGCGCAACCCUUAUCCUUGUUUGCCAGCACGUAAUGGUGGGAACUCCAGGGAGACUGCCGGUGAUAAACCGGAGGAAGGUGGGGACGACGUCAAGUCAUCAUGGCCCUUACGAGUAGGGCUACACACGUGCUACAAUGGUGCAUACAGAGGGAAGCAAGAGCGCGAGCUGGAGCGGAUCCCAAAAAGUGCAUCGUAGUCCGGAUUGGAGUCUGCAACUCGACUCCAUGAAGUCGGAAUCGCUAGUAUCGUGGAUCAGAAUGCCACGGUGAAUACGUUCCCGGGCCUUGUACACACCGCCCGUCAUC